rnacentral:lncRNA from 1 species
CUAGUGUUAAGAUUAUUUAAACUGCAAAAAAAGAAUGAUAUACAAUAUCUUCAGAGUUUAAAUGCCUCUUCACCUAAGAAGACGUUACCAUCGAUAUGGAGGAAUACUCAGGAUCCUGACAUAUCGGUCGUAGAUGUCUACGACAUUGCAUCUGAGAUAAGGAAAAGAAUGCGAAAAAUUGAUAGAUUCUUUCGGAACUGAUGCUGUUACUGGACUCAUGCCAAAAGUUAUUAAUGCAUUGGAGUUAUUAGAAAACCUUGCUACAAAAAAUGAACGAGAAAUCACAACUGUGCAAGAAUUGACCGCACGAAUUUCGCAAUUGGAAAAUGAUAAAAUCGGAAAAGCAGAAGAUCGGCAGAGAUUUGAGAAAGUAAGU